GGUCCCCCCGGUCCCCCCCCGUGGCCCAGCCUUCAGCACCGCCCGCCCCGGCCGCGGCUGCCGCCGGCGGGACGCGGAGCGGGGCCGGACGCACCAUGAGCAGCCUCCCCGCCGAGCGGGAGGGCGGCCCCGCCGACACCGGCCUGCCCGAGGAGGAGGUGAGGACGCUCUUUGUCAGUGGGUUGCCCCUGGACAUCAAGCCCCGGGAACUUUACCUGCUCUUUAGGCCCUUUAAGGGGUACGAAGGUUCUCUCAUCAAACUCACCUCCAAGCAGCCCGUGGGCUUCGUCAGCUUCGACAGCCGCUCCGAGGCCGAGGCGGCCAAGAACGCGCUGAACGGCAUCCGCUUCGACCCCGAGAUCCCCCAGACGCUGCGGCUGGAGUUCGCCAAGGCCAACACCAAGAUGGCCAAGAGCAAGUUGGUGGGGACCCCCAACCCCAGCGCGCCGCUCCCCACCGCCGUCCCGCAGUUCAUAGCCCGCGAGCCCUAUGAGCUCACGGUGCCCGCACUCUACCCCAGUAGCCCUGAAGUGUGGGGGCCGUACCCUCUGUACCCGGCGGAGUUAGCGCCUGCCCUACCUCCUCCUGCUUUCACCUACCCCGCUUCGCUGCACGCCCAGAUGCGCUGGCUCCCUCCCUCCGAGGCUGGUUCUCAGGGCUGGAAGUCCCGUCAGUUCUGCUGAAUGCUGGGUCUCAGGUGUGUGAUGGUGGCCUACAGUCAGUCUUGUGGGUACGAACCGAGUCUUCCGAGGCGGCUCCUGGGUUGGCGCGCUCUCGGCACACCCACAGCGCGCUGGCUUGAAAAAAACAAAAACCAAACGCACCCAACAACCUCCCACAAGCGUGGAUUCCUCCAAGACUUUCCCACAGCCUCUAUCACACAUCUGCUCUCCUAGAAGAGAAACGACGAGCAUACCUAGUAAUAACAUUUUCCUCUUUUACACUGUCUAUUGGUCAGAAAGAGCGCGUUAGUUGUGAAAGCGUGGUUUUGACAGGCAUCGCUGUAGUGUUUGAAAAGCUGCUUUCGAGCAGAACCAUAGGAAAACGGACUACAGAAAAACAGCAACAAAAACCAAAAUGAGAGCAAGUAUUUUUGUACCAAACCUCCUAAACAGGACAAUCUUACACUGGGUCGGACCACAGGAUAUUGUGUGUGACUUUCGAGCGCGUGUAAUCCAGACUCCACUCCCUGUUGGAGCCGCGCUCCCCAUCCCGGCCACACGUCUGCGGACACUUACAGUAUUACCCUUUUCUCCCCCGUUUUACCAAAUGCCGAGCAGGCGGGACAGUCGGGAGCUUUCUGAUGGUGACGUUCUCCGUACCUGGGGCUGUGUUGAACGUCUGGCUGUGCAGGGGGCCGGGGAUGAGCACCGACUGGUGAAAAUCCGUGUCAUUCUCCUGCCAGGACUGCUCCGGUUGUGAUGGGCAACGUAAACUGCUGUAUGAGGAAAAACAAACAACAACCCUCGGUUCACCAGCUUACUCAAGGUUAGGCGAGUCCUGAGCAAGCUGAGAGUCUUAGGCGCCCGCCUACCGUUAGGCCAAAGCACUGGGCUGAGCUGGGGUUUGAGCAUCGCGGUUCUACCGGCCCGGCUGCUGUCAUGCUGCAGUUCCGUGUUCCUGCGAGCAAAGAGGCUGCGGACCCCGUGGGGCAGGAUCUGCCGCGGACCCCGUGGGGCAGGAUCUGCUACAGACCCCGUGGGGCAGGAUCUGCCGCGGACCCCGUGGGGCAGGAUCUGCCGCGGACCCCGUGGGGCAGGAUCUGCCGCGGACCCCGUGGGGCAGGAUCCGCCCCGCUGCGUUCGCCGAGGUACCAGCACACGGACCGCUCGACGUGACAGUCUCGCCUCUUCUUGCUCCAGGAGGAGUUUGGGAAAAGAAAAAGCCAAGCAAAAGUCAAUAAACGUUUUAAAAAGCCCCUAAUUUCGGUUUCUUGCAAAAGGAGGCACAAAGCCCUUCUCGCCUCCCGGCCUUUCCCCCAGGGAACACAGGGACAGGGUGCCCGUGGCGUUGUUAAACACCAUCAUCUUCCUCCUUUCCUUCGUUCCGUGGGUGGGCAGAGAUUCCGGCUGCCAAAUCGGCGGGGAGCGGGGGCAAGAGAUGGUGGGAUGGGAAACCGUCCUGUAGGGUUUUCUGUCAAAAGCGGGACAGAUAAAGGCGACGCGAGAAGCAAUCAAUUCCAAGACAAACCAUGGAGCAGCUUUAAAUGGAACGACACCAGCAUUUCCGAGCAACGGACUUAACUCUUUUAGCAAACUAUUUCCUGUACUUUGUCCUGUGGGAGAGGAGAGAAGCUCCCGCCUCGUCUGCUCCGCUUUUUUGGAAAUAUGUUUAAAGGUACUUUUCUAUUGUUAAUUUUUUGUUUUUUUGAAAUAAAAGCUGUGGUGAUGGUAAGUGA